rnacentral:lncRNA from 1 species
GAUUUACCAUUUCAGAGAACAAAUUCCUAACCUUUUCCCACUGGCCAAGCUUACAACAACCAUCAAUCAACGAACUAUAUGUGAUAACGUCCGGAGGAAUGCCUUUUUGUCAGAUUUACCAUUUUAGAGAACAAAUUCCUAACCUUUUCCCACUGGCCAAGCUUACAACAACCAUCAAUCAACGAACUAUAUGUGAUAAGGUCCGGAGGAAUGCCUUUUUGUUUCAUCUCUUCAAAAAGGCUAAUUGCAGCAUCUAACAUUCUAUCUCUGCAUAGGGCAUCUAUAACAAUGCUAUAGAUGUGUGCAUCGGGCUUAGUGCUUCCUUGUUCCAUUACCCUA